GACGAACGCUGGCGGCGUGCUUAACACAUGCAAGUCAAGGGGGUCCGCAAGGACAACCGGCGAACGGGUGCGUAACACGUGAGCGACCUGCCGAUCUGCGGGGGAUAGCCGGCCCAACGGCCGGGUAAUACCGCAUACGCAGCAGUUGAUACCUGUCAGCUGCUGGAAACCUCCGGGGCGGAUCGAGGGGCUCGCGGCCUAUCAGCUAGUUGGCGGGGUAAUGGCCCACCAAGGCGGCGACGGGUAGCUGGUCUGAGAGGAUGGCCAGCCACAUUGGGACUGAGAGACGGCCCAGACUCCUACGGGAGGCAGCAGUGGGGAAUCUUGCGCAAUGGUCUAACGACUGACGCAGCGACGCCGCGUGUGGGAGGACGCCUCGGU
rnacentral:rRNA from 1 species